GAAGCCGCCAGUAGGAAUCUUCGCAAUGACGAAGUCUGACGAGCACGCCGCGUGAGGGAGAGUUUCGAUCGUAAACUCUGUUGUUAGAGAGAUGUGAUAGAGUGAAAAUAUCAAGUGACGGUAUCUACCAGAAAGGGACGGCUACUACGUGCCAGCAGCCGCGGUAAUACGUAGGUCCCGAGCGUGUCCGGAUUUAUUGGGCGUAAAGCGAGCGCAGGUGGUUUAAUAAGUCUGAUGUAAAAGGCAGUGGCUCAACCAUUGUGUGCAUUGGAAACUGUUAGACUUGAGUGCAGUAGAGGAGAGUGGAAUUCCAUGUGUAGCGGUGAAAUGCGUAGAUAUAUGGAGGAACACCGGUGGCGAAAGCGGCUCUCUGGACUGUCACUGACACUGAGGCUCGAAAGCGUGGGUAGCAAACAGGAUUAGAUACCCUGGUAGUCCACGCCGUAAACGAUGAGUGCUAGUUGUUUGGGGCUAUCCAGCCCUAAGUGACGCAGCAAACGCAUUAAGCACUCCGCCUGGGGAGUACGACCGCAAGGUUGAAACUCAAAGGAAUUGACGGGGGCCCGCACAAGCGGUGGAGCAUGUGGUUUAAUUCGAAGCAACGCGAAGAACCUUACCAGGUCUUGACAUACUCGUGCUAUUCCUAGAGAUAGGAAGUUCCUUCGGGACACGGGAUGCAGGUGGUGCAUGGUUGUCGUCAGCUCGUGUCGUGAGAUGUUGGGUUAAGUCCCGCAACGAGCGCAACCCUUAUUGUUAGUUGCCAUCAUUAAGUUGGGCACUCUAGCGAGACUGCCGGUAAUAAACCGGAGGAAGGUGGGGAUGACGUCAAAUCAUCAUGCCCCUUAUGACCUGGGCUACACACGUGCUACAAUGGUUGGUACAACGAGUCGCAAGACAGUGAUGUCAAGCUAAUCUCUUAAAGCCAAUCUCAGUUCGGAUUGUAGGCUGCAACUCGCCUACAUGAAGUCGGAAUCGCUAGUAAUCGCGGAUCAGCACGCCGCGGUGAAUACGUUCCCGGGCCUUGUACACACCGCCCGUCACACCACGAGAGUUUGUAAUACCCAAAGCCGGUGAGCUAACCUUUUAGGAGGCAGCCGUCUAAGGUAGGAUAGAUGAUUGGGGUGAAGUCGUAACAAGGUAGCCGUAAGCUUGGAAUUCG
rnacentral:rRNA from 1 species